UACGUAGGGCGCAAGCGUUGUCCGGAAUUAUUGGGCGUAAAGAGCUCGUAGGCGGUCUGUUGCGUCCGCUGUGAAAACCCGGGGCUUAACCCCUGGCUUGCAGUGGAUACGGACAGACUAGAGGUAGGUAGGGGAGAAUGGAAUUCCCGGUGUAGCGGUGAAAUGCGCAGAUAUCGGGAGGAACACCGGUGGCGAAGGCGGUUCUCUGGGCCUUACCUGACGCUGAGGAGCGAAAGUGUGGGGAGCGAACAGG
rnacentral:rRNA from 1 species